ensembl:lncRNA
GGUGAUCCCAUAGUGACAGCUUGCUGAUCCCAUAGGGACAUCCUGGUGAUCCCAUACAGACAGCCUUCUGAUCCCAUGGUGACGUUGCGGUGAUCCCAUAGUGACAGCCUGCUGAUCCCAUAGUGACAUCCUGGUGAUCCCAUACAGACAGCCCACUGAUCCCAUACGGACAGCUGCUGAUCCCAUAAUGAGAUCCUGCUGAUCCCAUGGUGACAUCCUUGUGAUCCUGUGGUGACAUCCUGCUGAUCCCAUGGUGACAUCCUGGUGAUCCCAUAGUGAGGUCCUGGUGAUCCCAUGGGGACAUCCUGGUGCUGCCAUGGUGACAUCCUGGUGAUCCCAUAGUGACAUCCUGGUGAUCCCAUGGUGACAUUCAGGUGAUCCCAUGGGGACAUUCUGGUGAUCCCAUGGGGACAUCGCACUGAUCCCAUGGUCACAUCCUGGUGAUCCCAUAAUGAGCUCCUGGUGAGCCCAUGGGGACAUCCUGGUGCUGCCAUGGUGACUCCUGGUGAUCCCAUGGGGACAUUCAGGUGAUCUCAUGGUGACAUCCUGGUGAUCCCAUAGUGACAUCCUGGUGAUCCCGUGGUGGGAUCCUGGUGAUCCCAUUGUCACAUCUUGGUGCUGUCAUGGCGACCUCCUGGUGAUCCCAUGUGGACAUCCUGGUGAUCCCAUAAUGAGCUCCUGGUACUGCCAUGGUGACGUUAUGGUGAUCCCAUAGUGACAUCCUGGUGAUCCCAUGGUGAUGUUAUGGUGAUCCCAUGGUGACAUCCUUGUGAUCCUGUGGUGACAUCCUGCUGAUCCCAUGGUCACAUCCUGGUGAUCCCAUAAUGAGCUCCUGGUGAUCCCAUGGGGACAUUCAGGUGAUCCUAUGGGGACCUCCUGGUGAUCCCAUAAUGAGCUCCUGGUGAUCCCAUGGGGACAUCCUGGUGCUGCCAUGGUGACUCCUGGUGAUCCCAUGGGGACAUUCAGGUGAUGCCAUGGUGACAUCCUGGUGAUCCCAUAGUGAGGUCCUGGUGAUCCCAUGGAGACAUUCAGGUGAUCCCAUGGGGACGUUCAGGUGAUCCCAUGGUGGAAUCCUGGUGAUCCCAUAGUGAGAUCCUGGUGAUCCCGUGGUGACAUUCAGGCGAUCCCAUGGUAACAUCCUGGUGAUCCCAUGGUGACAUUCAGGUGAUCCCAUGGGGACAUUCAGGUGAUCCCAUGGUGACAUCCUGGUGCUGCCAUGGUGACAGCCUGGUGAUCCCAUCGCGACAUCCUGCUGAUCCCAUGUUGACCUCCUGGUGAUCCCAUGGUGAUGUUAUGGUGAUCCCAUGGGGACAUUCAGGUGAUCCCAUGGUGACAUUCAGGUGCUGCCAUGGUGACAUCCUGGUGCUGCCAUGGUGACAUUCAGGUGAUCCCGUGGGGACAUUCAGGUGAUCCCAUAAUAAGAUCCUGGUGAUCCCAUGGUCACUCCUGGUGACCCCCUGGUGACUCCCAGUGCUGCCAUGGUGACCUCCUGGUGAUCCCAUGGCGACUCCCAGUGCUGCCAUGGUGACUCCUGGUGAUCCCAUAAUGAGAUCCUGGUGAUCCCAUGGUGAUUCCCGGUGAUCCCAUGGUGACUCCUGGUGAUCCCAUGGUGACUCCCAGUGAUCCCAUUGUGAGUCCUGGUGAUCCCAUGCUGACCUCCUGGUGACCCCAUGGUGACAUCCUGGUGAUCCCAUGGUGACACCUGGUGAUCCCAUGGUGACCUUAUGGUGCUGCCAUGGU